GAGUACAAGUUAAGAAAAUGCUCAUGACUCUUAGUAACAAUUGAAAUCAUUUACAAUUUAUCGGCAGAAUACAGCAUAAGGAAUGUAGAAAC